ensembl:ncRNA
UACUAAAUAUAUUGCACAUGUU